GCCCCUGUGUUGAAAUGGAUAUCAUCUUUGCCUUCGAAGCAAAUGUUGAGGGUUCGAAUCCUUCCAGGGGCA
rnacentral:tRNA from 1 species